ACUAUACCCAAGGCUCUUUCUAUUCCGACUUUGGAAUAAAGGGCUCAUUCUGUGAAGGGGGUCUUGGAGCCAGGGAAGGAACUGCCUUAUGAAUCUGCGAAAGGUGUGGGGUUGUCGCGGGCAUUGCGGGCAAAUGGAACAAUAUGUAGAACAACAGCAGCAUGAAACUGCAGAACUCAUUAAUUCAGAUGCAAUAUGGGGAUGCUCCAUAGCAACUUCACAUGGAUGUCGUGAGGGUAAAAAAGGAGGAAACACAUUUUAGAUACAUAAGGAAACAUCCUAGAAAUCCAUCUGGACUCCUUUUCCUUUGAGCAAUUUUGCUGCAUGCAGAGGCCUCUGGAUUUGCAAGUGAGAAGUGAUGGGCACAAGUGUGUGUUUGAGGCAGCCUCCGGCCAAGGAAGGAUGGGCAACUGAACCUGAAAAAGUGACUGAAGCCUUCUCUGCUCCUCACUACCAAUGGGAUUAGCUAGCCUUGUUGUCCUGCUCUGUAAAAUGGGGAACAGAAACUGAUGGGCCGUUGGUGGAGGGUGGCCCUCUGCAAAGUGGCCUGAUCGGAUUCCUGAGCUUCUAGGUCAUUGAGCAGGAUCGCGACUGGCCGGAGCCACGCUACUCCCUCCUGACCUUGAAAGGUGUGACAAGUGGACUUGCGUGCAUUGCUCAGCCAGCCUCUAUUGACUCUCUGUGAUGUACUGGGCAUCGAUCUUAUCUUUGUGAGAAUUUGGUGAGCCAGCAAAAGAGUAAGUAGAGGAAAUGAGAA